UCUCAGUUGGAAUAAAGGUAAGACGGUUAACAAUCUGGGUUGACCGUAUCAAAACGUGAGACGCCGUUCCAUUUUUCUUCGUUUCUAUUUUGUUGUUGCUUACCGUGGCUAAAAGAAAGUGGACGUAGAAAUGGCCUGCUACGGUUGGCUCUCACCUGUCGGCAUUCAGCCGUAGAUGCGGAAGAAAGCAGCCCUCCACUCAAGAAAACAGCCAUGAAGAUAGCCAUAUUAUUUUUUGUUCUUGUCACCUGCAACGCCAAACACAUCAGUGAGCAGAAUCAAGAGAGGUGUUCCAACAGCCGGGGACCAACGGACGGAGAUUUGCUUCUUGACAAAGUCAUGAAGAACUACUUCAUGUCCGAACGUUUCAAAGCCAUGUCUCUUCCGAACUUCAAUUACACCGUCCGUGUGGCCAUGUGGAAUUUACGGAUGGAGUUUUACAAUGGAACCAUCUUGGGUUUGAGUGCCGUUGAACGGUUGGGCGACAACUACUUGGAAGCUGCAACAAACAAAUAUAUGCGAAUUCGCGUGGCCUUGAAACUGGAAGGACUGAACAUUUCGGUUGCAGCACGGACCAAGAGGUUCAUUGGGUACACUUAUAUUGAAGCAGACGUCUUCGCACCUGCAACUACAUUCAUCGCAGGAAAUAAAAGAGGUGAACAACAAGCUCAUGUUGCAACGGCUCGAGAUGAACGAUACCAGUGAGGUGCAAAUCCACUUCCGCUUCCUAAGCCCAAUACUGCGUUUACUGAACAAGCUUUCGCCACU
rnacentral:misc_RNA from 1 species